rnacentral:rRNA from 1 species
GAUGAACGCUGGCGGCGUGCCUAAUACAUGCAAGUCGAGCGAACAGAUGAGGAGCUUGCUCCUCUGACGUUAGCGGCGGACGGGUGAGUAACACGUGGAUAACCUACCUAUAAGACUGGGAUAACUUCGGGAAACCGGAGCUAAUACCGGAUAAUAUAUUGAACCGCAUGGUUCAAUAGUGAAAGACGGUUUUGCUGUCACUUAUAGAUGGAUCCGCGCCGCAUUAGCUAGUUGGUAAGGUAACGGCUUACCAAGGCAACGAUGCGUAGCCGACCUGAGAGGGUGAUCGGCCACACGGGAACUGAGACACGGUCCAGACUCCUAAGGGAGGCAGCAGUAGGGAAUCUUCCGCAAAGGGCGAAAGCCUGACGGAGCAACGCCGCGUGAGUGAUGAAGGUCUUCGGAUCGUAAAACUCUGUUAUUAGGGAAGAACAAAUGUGUAAGUAACUAUGCACGUCUUGACGGUACCUAAUCAGAAAGCCACGGCUAACUACGUG